GGGAAUAGAUGGUCUGGUUCAAUGUAAUUCAGUAGAUCUAGUGCAUAUACUGUUUUCUGUAUCUGAGGACGUUCAAGUUCAUGAAGGGUACAUUUUUGUUUUUCUUUAUUACAACUGGAGGGUAAUAUCCAAGACCAUCUUGGUUUCCUUCUGUGUUCGCAUCUCCUACACCCCAAAGCGUUCAGGAAAUACUGUCAAACGACAAAUCGUCAGAAAAAGCGGCUGCUCUACAUCUUCAGCGCCCACUGCUGACAUGAAGGGAUGCUCCCCAAACGGAUGCAUCCAAUCCCAGAAUCUACAACAGAAUCUCAUGUUUGAAGGAGUCUGGCUUAGCCAGCCAUGAUAGAGGCAGCGGGCGCUCCAGCAACAAGAACAGCAUCGCCAAGGGACUACACUCAGCAUUUCAGCAUCAAGCUGCCAUAGCUCUGAACUGUUAUCUCCCCAGGACAAAGCCAAGGCAAGUGCUCGGAUGUAAUUUGAUCAUUGGAUGAACUCACGAUCUGAGAAGAUAAAAACUUGCUUCAGAAAUUCAGACUGCUACACACCAAAAUCUCUGCACAGUUUUGUUUUAUGCUUGGUUGCCACUGCUUAAAAAGUUUUCCUAACCACAGAGAAAAGAAGUGAUAACAAAAUGGUUUCUUCUGAUGGGCACUCUGGGUCCUUUGGUCUGUUAGGUGAACACUCAGGUCAUUAAGUGCCGAGUCCAGUGAGUUACAGGACCACUGCCAGGGCCAAGGUACAGCCAGCCCUCUGCCCACACUUUGUGGAUAUGCACAACAUCUGCAUCAAAAGGUCUCCUUUGGGACAUCAUGCCUGAAUCAUGAGAGACCCUGAGUGAUUAGGAAAAGUGUAUAUUCUCUUUACUGUACUGCAUCCUCCUGGGACAGUAAUUCACCCGAGAGUGUUCAUCCACACAUCCCUCCAGGCCCGGCACGUGCUAGGGCUGCAAGAGAAGUUUCUUGAGAGGCGUUUACCAAUGGCAAGAAAUACAUUCAUUAUGUAAAA